AUUGAACGCUGGCGGCAGGCUUAACACAUGCAAGUCGAGCGGUAACAGAGAGAAGCUUGCUUCUCUGCUGACGAGCGGCGGACGGGUGAGUAAUGCCUAGGAAUCUGCCUAGUAGUGGGGGAUAACUUGCCGAAAGGUAAGCUAAUACCGCAUACGUCCUACGGGAGAAAGGAGGGGACCUUCGGGCCUUUCGCUAUUAGAUGAGCCUAGGUCGGAUUAGUUAGUUGGUGAGGUAAUGGCUCACCAAGACCGCGAUCCGUAACUGGUCUGAGGAGAUGAUCAGUCACACUGGAAAUGCGACACGGUCCAGACUCCUACGGGAGGCAGCAGUGGGGAAUAUUGGACAAUGGGGGGAACCCUGAUCCAGCCAUGUCGCGUGUGUGAAGAAGGUCUUAGGAUUGUAAAGCACUUUAAGUUGGGAGGAAGAGCAGUUAACUAAUAUUUGACUGUUUUGACGUUACCGACAGAAUAAGCACCGGCUAACUUCGUGCCAGCAGCCGCCGCAG
rnacentral:rRNA from 1 species